rnacentral:lncRNA from 1 species
GCAUGGGGACAAUGGAGAGCUAGGCCAGGAUGAUGGCCCUGUGGAUGGCAGUGGCCACCUCCUUGGAGCACUUAACACCCAGACCGACGUGACCGUUGUAGCCCGCAAUGGCCACAAACGCCUUGAACCUGGUUCGCUGGCCGGCUCCGGUCUGCUUCUGCACCGGCAUAAUCUUCAAAACCUAGGCCUCGAGAGAGGCCCCCCAGGAAAAAAUCAAUGAUCUCAGAUUCCGUGAUGGGCAGGGAGAAGAGACAGAUCUCCUCCAGGGAAGUGAUCUUCAUGUGCUUGACCAGGCAGCCCAGCUUGCUGACGGGCAUCCACUCCUUAUCCUUGGCCUUGCCUCCGCGAGCUCCGUGGCUUCGGCCCCAGCCUGGUCCACGGCAGUGACCCCGGCCUCGGAUGCCACUGCCGAAACCUCCACGGAAGCCACCAUGGUUCCCCAUCCCAGGGCCCCGGGGCCUCCGGGACUCCCCCCGCAACCCAAUGCCGGCUGCGCCGGCGUCAUCCGCCAUUUGGUGUUUUCUCGGAGAAGAAGCUACAUGUGGAAUAUAUUAACGCAACAAAUUGUGCGUACUUGCUAGACAUUAGGCAUGAUAGCAAGUGCUAGGGUUACAAAGUAUUGCUUUUUGGGGAACCCAUGGUUGUUGGGGAGAAACCAGAAGAUCAGUCAUCACAGUGCGGCAAGAUCAGACUUGUGGUUUGUUCAGGUUCUGGGAGCCGUCACUGCAGUGAGAAUGGGACCCUGGUUGAAGGAACCUGUUGUUCUUAUGGUGGAGGGCAGAAACCCAAGAGGGCUGGAGCCAAUCCAUCCCUGUUUUCUUUAGACGCUGACUCCUGCUGUCUACCAGAUCCUCGUGGUACAAUGACUGGUGUAGACUGGCUUGUUGAAGUCACUCUCUGGAUCUGAGCAACGCUGGCUGAGCCGUGAUGAAGUAUUCCUAUCCAUCCACUAUGCUUCACAGUGGGAAUCUCUCACUGUUCAUCACCGCUGCCCUAGCAGCCGCAGGGAUUCUUCACCCAUGGUUGCUUAGGUUUAUAAGCAAGGAAGCUGAAUGAAGUCCCUUUCCUCUCUGGAUGAGCCCCUGGGUUUCUGGAAGAGUCUUAAAAUCACCCCUAAAUGGCUUCCAAGCACUGAAGCCCGAGAUGUUAGCUGGCCUGUGUGAGGCCUUGAGACAGAAUGCCACAGCCACACCCCAAGGAUGCUGAAGGGGAUUUCCCUCCUCUGUGGUUUUUCUCCUUUCUUCCCGCAGCACUCCUCCUACGUGCUAACAUCUUCUAGUCAAACAACUCUCCUUUUCAAAGGGACCAGGCACAGUUUCUGCUUAUCCCUGAGUAGCAGUGUUCAGUUUCCUGCCAGCCUGUGGAGUUUUUCAAACAAGCCAAUCACCUCCUCCUGUGGGAACUGAGAAGCACCCCACCCUCUCGAUACUACAAAGCCCCUGCUUGUUCCCUAGUGCAACUCCCAUGUGGUCCUGUGGAGCAUAUGGUAUCUUCCUCUUCUGGGCAGUGAGCAUAUGUGACUAAUAAACUAUCUAUCUCA